rnacentral:misc_RNA from 1 species
UCCGAGUUGUCCCCGGCAGUCCUCUUAGAGUCCUCGGCAUGACCCGGUAGCAACUGGGAGCGGGGGUUGCGCUCGUUGCGGGACUUAACCCAACAUCUCACGACACGAGCUGACGACAGCCAUGCAGCACCUGUCUCGGGACUCCGAAGAGGGGACCUCGUUUCUGAGGUCUUUCCCCGAGAUGUCAAGCCCAGGUAAGGUUCUUCGCGUUGCGUCGAAUUAAACCACAUGCUCCACCGCUUGUGCGGGCCCCCGUCAAUUCCUUUGAGUUUCAGCCUUGCGGCCGUACUCCCCAGGCGGGGCACUUAAUGCGUUAGCGUCGACACCACAGGGGUCAAUACCCGUGACAUCUAGCUUCCAUCGUUUACAGCGUGGACUAC